ACCAUGUGUUUUUGGGCAAACGGGCACAACCCCAUUGACGAUAUACCCGUACCUAGUACACAACGGUAACCACUAACCGGUGAAGGACUACCAUUCGAAUUCGACGAGCUGUAUAACAUCCUUAUCUUUCUGUGGAUAGUCUCAUAGUCAGUAAAUUCUGUUUCGGCGCAAAACCCACAAUUUCAUAGCCAUCCAUUCAAGCAAAGCAGCAGCCUUUCGCAUCGGUUCUGCAAAUCUAUGCCAUAAUUGGAUUAUAAGGCCUUGGUUCACCAACAUGAUCAACCUUUCGAUGUAGCAUCAUAAUCAAUCCAAGAUUUCAUCUUUUCUCCACUAUUAAGCACCAAAUUCAAUGAAGAAACAUUAACCAGUCACCGACACAAAGCCACCCACAUUCACCCUCUAUAUGAUUCGCAUUCAAAUCAUUCAUGGUUUGAUUGAUUUCGGUGUAAAUACCCAGAAAUCGAUUUCAAUUUGUUCCAAGAAAAGUAAAUUUUGUUUAUUUCAUAAGGAUGGUUAAUAAUUGUCCUCGGGAAAUAGAGGAUGAUGGAAUACAGGAUGUUCAAAAGCCGUCGUCCUCUUUAGACAGAGCUGAAGAAAGCCCAGACAAUAAACAUGCCACAUAGAACUCGACCUAUGACUGCACUUUUGGUGUUUACUGGACUGAAUGCUAUCCUAGUUUCAACCAUUACUCCUGUCUAUGAUUUCGUCUGCUUUCUUCCUUUUUGGGAAAGACGGAGGGAACGACUUCGUCAGGAACGUGAACCUACUUUAUUAAAGAGUUCGGAAUCAAGAUAGAAGUAUUGAUUAGUCUUUUUUUUUUUUUUUUUUUUUUCGGUCUGUUAUACUUGUUGCAGUAGAGGUUUUUGAUGUAUUCUAGCUUUCUUAGAUCUUAGUAUAGAAAGAUACAAUGAGUAAUGAAGCUUUUGCUUUUGCCAAUGAGACAUGAGAUGUUGUCUUGUUUAUGGUGUUUCUUUCUAACAUACUGUUAAAUUACACCGUUACAGAGUUACAGUUCAUGCUCUUAAUCAGAUAAGUUACGUUAUUUAGGCAUUUGAACAGAAUAUUUAAUGGUUGAUUUCUUUCCAAUUGUUGGGUUGACGCUGUACGUGCUCUCUUAUUGGAGAAAGUUUUGCU